GCAUAUCAAUAAGCGGAGGAAAAAGAAACCAACAGGGAUUGCUCUAGUAACGGCGAGUGAAGCAGCAAUAGCUCAAAUUUGAAAUCUGGCGUCUUCGACGUCCGAGUUGUAAUUUGUAGAGGAUGCUUCUGAGUAACCACCGACCUAAGUUCCUUGGAACAGGACGUCAUAGAGGGUGAGAAUCCCGUAUGCGGUCGGAAAGGUGCUCUAUACGUAGCUCCUUCGACGAGUCGAGUUGUUUGGGAAUGCAGCUCUAAAUGGGAGGUAAAUUUCUUCUAAAGCUAAAUAUUGGCCAGAGACCGAUAGCGCACAAGUAGAGUGAUCGAAAGAUGAAAAGCACUUUGGAAAGAGAGUUAAAAAGCACGUGAAAUUGUUAAAAGGGAAGGGAUUGCAACCAGACUUGCUCGCGGUGUUCCGCCGGUCUUCUGACCGGUCUACUCGCCGCGUUGCAGGCCAGCAUCGUCUGGUGCCGCUGGAUAAGACUUGAGGAAUGUAGCUCCCUCGGGAGUGUUAUAGCCUCUUGUGAUGCAGCGAGCGCCGGGCGAGGUCCGCGCUUCGGCUAGGAUGCUGGCGUAAUGGUCGUAAUCCGCCCGUCUUGAAACACGGACCAAGGAGUCUAACAUCUAUGCGAGUGUUCGGGUGUCAAACCCCUACGCGUAAUGAAAGUGAACGGAGGUGAGAACCGCAAGGUGCAUCAUCGACCGAUCCUGAUGUCUUCGGAUGGAUUUGAGUAAGAGCAUAGCUGUUGGGACCCGAAAGAUGGUGAACUAUGCCUGAAUAGGGUGAAGCCAGAGGAAACUCUGGUGGAGGCUCGCAGCGGUUCUGACGUGCAAAUCGAUCGUCAAAUUUGGGUAUAGGGGCGAAAGACUAAUCGAACCAUCU
rnacentral:rRNA from 1 species